AUUGAACGCUGGCGGCAGGCCUAACACAUGCAAGUCGAGCGAGUGGCGGACGGGUGAGUAAUGUCUGGGCAACUGCCUGAUGGAGGGGGAUAACUACUGGAAACGGUAGCUAAUACCGCAUACCAUCAGAUGUGCCCAGAUGGAAUUAGCUAGUGGGUGGGGUAACGGCUCACCUAGGCGACGAUCCCUAGCUGGUCUGAGAGGAUGACCAGCCACACUGGAACUGAGACACGGUCCAGACUCCUACGGGAGGCAGCAGUGGGGAAUAUUGCACAAUGGGCGCAAGCCUGAUGCAGCCAUGCCGCGUGUAUGAAGAAGGCCUUCGGGUUGUAAAGUACUUUCAGCGAGGAGGCGUUACUCGCAGAAGAAGCACCGGCUAACUCCGUGCCAGCAGCCGCGGUAAUAC
rnacentral:rRNA from 1 species